AGGCUGAGCCAAAGUCGGCGCAGUCGUGAUCGUCAUUUCCGGUGUCUGUUGUCUGGGAGCUAAUUGGUAUUGACCUGACCGGACCUCUCCCAAAAACUGUGGAUGGCUUCCAGUACAUUUUAACAGCCACAGAUUACUUUUCAAAAUGGGUUGAGGCUUUCCCAUUAAAGAAAAAAACUGCAGCUGAAGUGGGGCGCCACAUCUGCUCAAUUAUUUAUACACAUUUUUGUCCCAAAAUAAUCGUAUCUGACCAGGGAAGAGAGUUUGUUAGUGAAGUGUGUGCGUUUUAAUAAUGCUAUUGUAGUAAAUACAAUUCAGGAAUUAUUCCUUUCUGCUUGGAAUGUAUUUUUUUUUUGACAUGAACUGAUUUUAUUUCAGCUCAACACCAGACUUUGCAGUAUUUUGGCUAUUCAAAGUAGUGUGACAGCUGCCUAUCAUCCCAAAACCAAUGGUCUGGAUGAGAACACAUUGUUAAACAUAACUAUUUAUUAUUAUACUAUUUUAUUUGAGUCGACAUUUGUUCAGUGUUCAGGAGUUAUUUAUUUAGUUUAAUUGAUUUUUUUUUUUUUUUUGGUGUUUGUUUUUUUACAUUAUGUACAUUGCACAUACUGUACCGCUAAAACCUUCAAUAUACGUUAUAAAACAGCAUCAACAGUGUACAGGGUGAGUAGUGGUGUAAAAUAACGUGAUUCUGCAGUGGGAGCAUUAUUUGAUAGAGGCGAUUGGUCUAUCCACAUACGGUACUCCUGAAAUCUUCAAUAAAGACGUUAUAAACAAG